rnacentral:rRNA from 1 species
UACGUAGGGGGCAAGCGUUGUCCGGAAUCAUUGGGCGUAAAGCGCACGUAGGCGGCCCGGUAAGUCCGCUGUGAAAGUCAGAGGCUCAACCUCUGGAGGCCAGUGGAUACUGCCGGGCUAGAGUCCGGAAGAGGCGAGUGGAAUUCCUGGUGUAGCGGUGGAAUGCGCAGAUAUCAGGAGGAACACCAAUGGCGAAGGCAGCUCGCUGGGACGGUACUGACGCUGAGGUGCGAAAGCGUGGGGAGCGAACAGG